rnacentral:rRNA from 1 species
UACGUAGGUGGCAAGCGUUGUCCGGAAUUAUUGGGCGUAAAGCGCGCGCAGGCGGGUUUUUAAGUCUGUCUUAAAAGUUCGGGGCUUAACCCCGUGAGGGGAUGGAAACUGGAAACCUAGAGUAUCGGAGAGGAAAGCGGAAUUCCUAGUGUAGCGGUGAAAUGCGUAGAUAUCGGGAGGAACACCAGUGGCGAAGGCGGCUUCCUGGCCGGAUACUGACGCUCAAGUGCGAAAGCUGGGGGAGCGAACGGG